CCUACGGGUGGCAGCAGUAGGGAAUAUUGCGCAAUGGGCGAAACCCUGACGCAGCAACGCCGCGUGGAGGAUGAAGGUUUUCGGAUUGUAAACUUCUUUUGUCAGGGAAGAUAAUGACGGUAUCUAAUGAGUAAUCACCGGCUAAUUCCGUGCCAGCAGCCGCGGUAAUACGGCGGGUGCAAGCGUUACUCGGAAUCACUGGGCGUAAAGAGCGCGUAGGCGGGAUGGCAAGUCAGAUGUGAAAACCUAGGGCUCAACCAUGGAACUGCAUUUGAAACUGUUAUUCUAGAGUGUGGGAGAGGUAAGUGGAAUUCUGGGUGUAGGGGUAAAAUCCGUAGAUAUAAGGAGGAAUACUAGUUGCGAAGGCGACCUGCUAGAACAUAACUGACGCUGAGGCGCGAAAGCGUGGGGAGCAAACAGGAUUAGAUACCCCAGUAGUC
rnacentral:rRNA from 1 species